rfam:Streptomyces rubellomurinus strain ATCC 31215 contig-138, whole genome shotgun sequence.
CUUGAUCGAGCCCAGCCACAGCGGCUCGCCGGCCCGCUCCCGGCCGUACGUCGCCAGCAGCGCGUGCGCCUC